CCUACGGGGGGCAGCAGUGAGGAAUAUUGGUCAAUGGCCGGAAGCCUGAACCAGCCAAGUAGCGUGCAGGAUGACGGCCCUACGGGUUGUAAACUGCUUUUAUACGGGAAUAACGCGCCUUACGUGUAGUGCUUUGCAUGUACCGUAUGAAUAAGCACCGGCUAAUUCCGUGCCAGCAGCCGCGGUAAUACGGAAGGUCCGGGCGUUAUCCGGAUUUAUUGGGUUUAAAGGGGGCGUAGGCCGGAGGUCAAGCGUCGUGUGAAAUGUCCGGGCUCAACCCGGGCCUUGCAGCGGAAACUGGAGUGCUUGAGUCCGCGGAAAGCAGGCGGAAUUCGUGGUGUAGCGGUGAAAUGCUUAGAUAUGACGAAGAACCCCGAUUGCGAAGGCAGCUUGCUGCAGCGGAACUGACGCUGAUGCUCGAAAGCGCGGGUAUCGAACAGGAUUAGAUACCCGAGUAGUC
rnacentral:rRNA from 1 species